AGUGAACGCUGGCGGUAGGCCUAACACGUGCAAGUCGAACGGCAGCACAGUAAGAGCUUGCUCUUACGGGUGGCGAGUGGCGGACGGGUGAGGAAUACAUCGGAAUCUACUUUUUCGUGGGGGAUAGCGUAGGGAAACUUACGCUAAUACCGCAUACGACCUACGGGUGAAAGCAGGGGAUCUUCGGACCUUGCGCGAUUGAAUGAGCCGAUGUCGGAUUAGCUAGUUGGCGGGGUAAAGGCCCACCAAGGCGACGAUCCGUAGCUGGUCUGAGAGGAUGAUCAGCCACACUGGAACUGAGACACGGUCCAGACUCCUACGGGAGGCAGCAGUGGGGAAUAUUGGACAAUGGGCGCAGGCCUGAUCCAGCCAUACCGCGUGGGUGAAGAAGGCCUUCGGGUUGUAAAGCCCUUUUGUUGGGAAAGAAAAGCAGCAGGUUAAUACCCCGCUGUUCUGACGGUACCCAAAGAAUAAGCACCGGCUAACUUCGUG
rnacentral:rRNA from 1 species